GGGACAGCCGCGGGCUCGGGACGUCCCACCCCCCGUCCGUGAUUGGCCGUUAGCAGCCGGCUUCUGAUACGUCACAAUGGACGGCACCGCCCACCCCCACUGUUGAAGUGAAGGGGGGAGGGCGACGGGCCGGACCGUACCACCUGUCGCCCGUGGCGGGGGGGCAGCGCGGUGGGCUCGCCUCCCUGGCGCGGCGGGGACGGGGGGCGGCGGCGCGUGGAGCAGCCCGAGCGGCGGGCGGGGGCGGCUCGCUCCGGCCGCCGGGUAAACAGCCCUGCCUCCCGCCUGCCGCCCGCCCCGGCUCAGGCCCCUCCUCCCGCACGCGCUGCCCCGUGCCUAUUGUGAAGGCUUCGGGUCGCUCCGCACCCCCGCUGCCUCCCUCGCGGCGGCGGCGGGCCGGGGGCCCUCCCUCACGCCCGCCUCUCCUCAGCGGUGGUGCGCGCGCGCGGAAUGGCCGCGGCCGUUUGAAGCGGCGGCGCCCGGCGGUGGCGGCGGGGGCGUCGCGCGGGAGCAGCCGGUAAGCGUCGCGCAGGGCGGUGGGGGCGCGCCCGCCGCCAGGUGCUGCUCCGCCGCCCGGUGCGAGCGGUGACGUCAGCGCGGGCAGGUGCGGGGAGCGGGGGUCCGGGCGGCCUCAGGCCCGGGGCUUCCAGCGCCGCGCCCCUCGGCCCCCGCGGGCGGAGGGAGGGGGCGGCCGGGGCUCCGUUGGCUCGGGGCUCGCGCGGAGAGCUGCCCGCGGCCGCGCUGCGGGGUUCGGGGCUGGAGCGGCCCCGGGGUGACAUCCAGCUGCGGCGCGGUCGGCGGCGCUCCGGGCUGCUUCGCUGCCCGCUCUCAAACAAGUGCCGUGCGUGCGCGAUGGAACUUGGCUGCUUUUAGCAAUUGAGAUGGAAGGGAUGUAAGGGGCGAAUGGAAAAGGCGGCUGGCGUUCCGCUGCCGUGCCUCGCUCCGGCGUUCGCCGUGCGUUACGAGCGCAGCCGUGCCUCCUCUUUGUAUGCUGGGGUCGGGGCUGCAGGUGAAGCCCCACGUUUCCAAGCCCGAGCCCGUUCCUUUGUUUGCGGCCGUGAGGACUGAAGCGGGCUGCCGGGAACUCGUGCGGCCGCGAGCUGCUGUCCGCUCGCACCUAUCGGUGGGGCUGAUGGGUGUGCACGGGAAGCGGCGCGGCGCGCUGUGCCCAUCGCUCAGCGCUAUCAGAAGUGGAUCCUCAUCCGCCGCCGGUUUGUUGGUGCCAUCAUUAACCGAUUCCAUAUGAGCGCAUUCCUUUUGCCUUGGCGUGCAGAUGCCGGGUACUGCCUGAAGUUGGAACGCGCGCCUCCGAGUGCUUCGGGGUCGAUCUGCGAUGCUCUAUCCGUACAACUGCGUUGAAAAUGCCUAAUUUUGCUCUGUUAGCCUUGAUUCUGAACGCACGGCUGAAUGGGCUGUGGUAGUUCGCUUAAGCACGUUGAGCCGUGUUGCGUCCCAACAUCCCCGAUCGCUCGCCAGUAAUAUUUAAUCAUCUCAGAUUCUGGAUGUUUUCAUUCUAGAGCCUAUGAAAAUCGCUGGCUGGUUUAAAUUAGUUGCCUUUCUGGUACUGUCAGGGCAGUGAGCACAUGAGGAUACAGGCAGCACUUUGCUGAAUGAAGUUUCUAUUUGCUUAAACUGUAGACAAGGUUAAUUUUCAGCUCGCAGUCAGAUACAUCUGAUUUUGAAUGUGAAAUGCUGACUUGAUUAUGCUUUAAUUACAGAAAAAAGAAGUGUGGAAGGGUAAGAUACAUGGCUCAUCUAAUAUCUAGCUUUGUUGAAAAAGCUGAGGAGUUGCCACUUGUUAUUUCUGUCCAGAUACUGUGUUAACCCCUUGUGAUUCCCGACUAGGUGUUUUUGGAUUCAAGAAGGGGUCGAUCAGUAUGGAAGCAAGAGUGAUAUGGCUUAUAAGAGCAAGUCUCCCUGAUUAUUGUACACUGCAAGUGUGUUCUGUUUUAAUCACCUGCUCAAAACGGGGCUGGAAGAGGAUGCUGCUGGUUCUGAAUGAAGGCAGCCUGCAGUGGUGGGUGGAAGAUGUGCGAUACCUGGCUUCUCUUCCAUUCCCCUCUUUCCACCUCCUUGUGGUUGCUUUUGCCUCUCUUACUCUGAUUUCUCCAAAGAGAGGUGUAAAUGCUCCACUUUCUGCAGCGUUGUUGCUUUUGGAACGAGUCGUUUGACACCUGGUGCUGGCUGCUUGUGGUGGUGAAUGCUACACCAAGUGCUAUCAAGCCUUCCCUGUUUCCCAGGUGAAAGAGAGAAGUAUUUUAAAAUAGUUCCUUCAGCAGUAGAAAUAGGGCUUCUUUCUCUCUUUUAAAUUGCAUGGAUGUUUGUAACCUCUAAUGCUUUAUUGUUGUUUUUUUUCCCCUUGUUUAAAACACUUAUAGUCCUGUGCUUCUGGGGGGUCAUGCAAUGUCUGAUGAGGUCUUAACGCAUACUGCAGCCUUCCCCUCAGUCAGGACACUGGUAGCAUCUUGAUUUCACAAACUUAAUGUUUUCUUAAGCAGUUGUCUUUGAAACCUCCUACCUUUCUGUCAGAGCUGUUAGAAUUCAGCCAGCCAUUUUCCAAGCUAUUGAAACACAUGGGGGACCCCCAGCCUUCCCCAACGCUUCCUGCAUCAGACUAAUUUCCUUCCAAAGCUGGGCUAAGGUGUACUAAAUCUUACCUCAGUAUUUCACAGUUGUCCUUCACACUGGUUCUUUAUUCCUUACAAUAGAUAACAAAAUCUGUUUCUUUAUGUUUUAAUGCUUUGUCCUACUUUCUUUUCCCUUUCCAAGCAUUUUCCUUGCUCUUUUUUUCCACGACGGGUGUGCUUUAUUUCAUACCCUGUGUUUUCUGCUGGCUUUUUUUCCCCCCACAGAAGAUGCUGCAUAUAAUCCUGCUUGUUCUAGUUUUUCUGUAAUUUUUUUUAGCACUCUUAAACUGCUGUCAGCCCACUUGCACAUACAGUCACUUCUCAUCCACCGAGAUUCGUAAGUCUACAGUUUAGAGGAAAAAAGAACCAGCAACAUUCCAGAUACUUAUCAGACAGAGGACUGGACUAGAAUAUGAGGCUCCAUUGUCUAAGGGAAAAACAAUUUGAAAGAAAACAAUUUUUUUUCUUCCCUUCCCAUGCUCUUUGGCUGCUGAAAAGAGGUAUCAUGAAGUCUUAUCAGGUUCAUGUUGCUGCCUUCUGAUUUGAGCGUUCUCUAACCUGCUGCUAUGUCUGAGGCAUCUUAAUGAACUCUAUUUAAUUUUACUGCUGGGCGGGUAGAGCAUCUUUUAUUACUCAUGCUUUGCUUUUUCUGUCACCUUGGAGUCUCUGACUGCUGCAAGGGUGGUAAUACCUCUUUUCCACUUUUGGUUUUCUGGACUAUGUCCCGGAUUCUCAGAGAUACCAGGGCGCCAGAUUGCAAUAGGAGUUCUGUGUUCCAGUACAUCUGUGAAUCAGUCUCUGAAGUUCUUGGGGGAAGAAUCUUGAGGUCAUCUGACGCAGAUUACAGGUUAUACAGUUCAUAUUUAUGAGACUUGGUUUCAAAGAAAAAAGAUGCAGGAUAGGACCGGAGAACAGAAUGGCUUAGACUGUCGUGCUUAUUUCAGAUGUCUUUGCAAACAAAUUGUGUUUUGUGGAGCCUUUUCUGUGGAGGUUGGAAGCCUGCUGUGUAACCUCUUCAAGCUGCUCAAGUGCUUCCACUGCGCCGUGACCCACAUCUUGUAACACCAGCUGAACAAUGAACAUCUUGGAGAGGCAGCGAGAUAUUAAUUACAGACUUCCAGGAAAAUAAACUAAUUAGCAUCAUUAGAAACUCAUAUCUUCAAUAUUAUUCAAUAUCCUUAAUCCUAUGAAAUGAUUUUAAGUCAGUUAAAAUGCGGAAUGUCAUCCAAAGUACGCACAUUUCUAAAAAUACAUUUAUUGAUGUAGGUGCUUGGGGGUGGAAGCUGAAUUAAAUGUUAGCUUGCUUAGGAUAUUGUCUCUUCCUGGUAAUUUUUAAUACCAGAUAACUGGUAUGGAAUAGCUGUAAAAGUUAUAUUUUUAACUAAACACUUAAUAGCAGAAAUAAUGGUUUUCAAUGAGUUAAUAUCUGACCAUUGAUUGACUUUAAUUAAGAGCAAUGGCUGUGACAUGAAUUUCAGUCUUCAGACAGCAGACUCCACACAGGAGUAGAUCAUUACGAAUGCCAGAACUAUCUGACAUUUAAAGCUUAUUGAGAAACAGGAAUCUGUUCUAAACCCAGGUGGUUUUUCAACAUCUAAUAAAAGGCAUUAAAUGCUGUUGAUGCGUUUCUUACAGUUGUGAUAUUUUUAGUCUUUUUUUUUUCCUGCUGUGUGGUAAGCUGCAUUCAUUUACUGGGAGUAUUAAUAAAAUCUGUUUUCUCUCUGGCUCUUGUUUUCCUAAAUGUGGAGGCCCUCAAUAUACUUGAGGGUCUUCUAAUUUGGUAGAAAUUGGUCAAUACAAUAUAAAGUUACUGGAGGGCAGCUUCCAAGAAGUAUUCUAUAAGUGAUCUCUUAAAAUUUGAAAAUUCUUGGGAGCUCUUAAAGAAAGGACAUUGCCCACAUGAUUUUCAUCACUUACAGCUGCAAGGUCCUGUAGUUAGAAGUACAUGAUGGCAGCAGGCUGGUGGGACGCUUGGCGGUACUAACUGGUACUGGGGACAGAGACAGUUGUGCCUCGCCUAUCUGGUAGGGGUUUGGUUUGCACUAAUGGCAUAGCAGCUGCUGUUUUAGUUGCAUUUUAAUGUCAUCCUUUCUUGUGUGUUAUGACUUUUGGAGGUGUAUGUGAAGGUUCUUCAUACCUGGCUAUUAAAUAAGGAAGCCGUUAGGCAAUGGGUAAAGUAUUGUCAUGGGUCACAGCCUCUUAGAGGAAAUAACAGAAAUAAAUAUUAAGUUCUCAUAGGCAGAAGGUUUUUGCCUUAAAUUGGGAGCUGUUUAAUAUUAAUGAUCUCUGGAAGUUGAUUUAUAAAGCAACAUACUCAAAGUUGUUUAAUCACAUUCAGAUAUACUGGAAAGGUCACUGGAGAAGUCUCAGUGAGCUGUGUGGAAGGGCAGCAGGAUGACAGGUAAAACUGAGCAUUGGUGCACGCAGGACUGUUUUUUGGAUAUAGAAACCAUUUAUAUCUCUUAAAAGAUACUAAAUUAACGGUAUUAAUAUACAAGAAUAUUUCAUCAUCGCUGCAGGUUGCUGAGGUAUCCAUACCCAAUUUAUAGCCGUAAUCACAAGUGGAGAAAAAGCAUCAAGAAGGAAGUGUCAUUCUAUACAAAUUCCGUAAUUCAUUCUUGCUAUUCAAAGCAUGUAAUUAACCAUCAAUUGGUUUUGAGGAAAAAAAAAUAAAACCAUAGGAUUGUAGAGAGUUUGAUACAAAAGAUAGGGCAGAAUUUUUAGGGCGACUGAAAAAAUUGGAAGUAUUUACUGCAGGAAACAAAUUGGGGUUAGAAAGUUAUAAAGUAGACAUGAAUUUGUGCUGUUCAGCAGCUGAUGUGAAAGGGGAAAAAAGCUGCAUUCAGAAAAUGACAAUUUAUUGAAUUUGUACCCUUUUAAAAGAAGGGAAUGGAGAAUUUUUCCCUGCUUCCACUCAACAUACCUGUAUUUGUCUUAGAGUAUGUAUCUAUCAUCCACUGUUAGACUGUUUCUCUUGAAUACACAUGGCCAGCUUAACAGCCUUGCUUUAUUUGCUUUAAACCAAUGAUUUGAACUUUACUCUUUCCCAUCAGAGAUGACUGCUCAAAUAAAUUAAUAUUCAUUGGAGUGAGCUAUUCUCAGUCUUCUGCAUCUGAAGUGAAUUUUGUAAUUUCUGGGCAUUGGAGUCAUUGCCUGACAGUUUGGCGUAAUGAAUUGUUUCAUACAAAAUGAAACGGAACAAAUCAGUGGGAUAAUGAGAGAAACUCUUAAAACAAUAUGUUGGCUAUGGCUCUGACUUGUAGCCUGGGGUUCACUGAUUCGAAAGCAACCAUGGAUGAAAACUGAUGUUUGAAGAGAAAACCUCCUAGGGUCAAUCUAGCAAGCUCAAAGAACAUUGGGGGUAUAAAGUAGAGGAGUAUGGGGGUCCUUUUUGUGAGGGUAUUCUUUCAAGUUAUUUAGUAUCGGAACAUCUGAAAUAGAUGGACAUGUUAUUGAAAACUGAAAGUUUGGUUGAUGCUGAGGUACUUUUCUGAUGGUAGCUUGUCUUAAAUAAUGUUACAGCACUUUGUGCAGCAGUGCCUAUUUGCCAUAGAAUCAUAGAAGAGCUUGGGUUGGAAGGGACCUCAAGGAUCAUCAAGCUCCAACCGCCCCACCACAGGCAGGGCCACCAACCUCCACAUUGAAUACUAGACCGGGCUGCCCAGGGCCCCAUCCAACCUGGCCUUGAACACCUCAGGGACGGGGCAUCCACAGCCUCUCUGGGCAGCCUGUUCCAGCACCUCACCACUCAUAGUAAAGAACUUCUCCCUGACAUCCAACCUAAAUCUUCCCUCCUUCAACUUAAAACCAUUUCUCCUUGUCCUGCUAUUAUCUACCCUUACAAAGAGUUGACUCCCCUCCUGCUUAUAGGCUCCCUUUAGGUACUGAAAGGCUGCAGUGAGAUCAACCAUCUCCAAAGUAAUGACCACGAAGUAGCGAAAAUCACAGUUGUCAACUAUAUUUCUGCAGUGUGAUGCUGUUCAUGUUUUGAGUAUCCAUGAACUUGUACCUUCAGCCACGUUCAGGAUGAUGAUGCGGGUUCUGCGGCUCCAUGAUACAGGUCAUGGGUCCAGCCAGCUGUACCAGGCAGGCAGUGUUACUGCUGAAGAGCCAUUGCUGGUAGCAGAGAGCAGUUUUCCACAGAUGGCUGUCAUUAUCGUGCAAUAACACAGCACCCUCUGCAGUGAUUCUGGCACAGCACUUCAAGAAAUUCUAAGAACUCUUUAGGAAAGUGACAAGUACUUUAUAAUUUGAUAAUAGAUGUGAACUUAAGUAGUUCAGCCAGCUUUUGUAAAAAUGGCUUGCGGACUCAGCUGUACAGUGAAAAAAGGAAAUGCUUAACUUGUUAAAUCUUGUUCAGCCACUGGCCAUUGAAUGCGUGUGCAGAAGUGCUUAGAGAGGUCUUUUAUGCUCAGCUGGUUUGACCUUCUGUUGAUAUUAAAGAAGAAGGCUGUGAUUAACAAAAAAUUAACAAAAUUGUGAACUGAGUUUGCUGUUUCCUUGGAAUCCUCAUCAGGGCCAAGGGCUGUGGUUCUAGCUAGCUUUAGUCAUCUAUUUAAAAAUAAAAUCUGAGUUUUAAAGGGGUUCUCUAUUUCUGUGGGAAUUAACUUCAGGAAAUGAUCUUUCAACAAGUUUCACAAUGGGGGAAAGGUUCUGUGUCAUACUGUCCCAAUAUUGCCUACUUUCUACUAGCUACGAUGUUUCCUGUUAGACAUUGGAGAUUAUCUGUGGCUAUCCUAUCUUAACUUUUUAGUAGUUAGAAAUUGAAUGAAUUAAAAAAAGAAAUGAAACCUUUUUUUUUUUUUUUAGGAAAAAAAAAAGAAGGUUUUUUUAGCAAAAAGAUUAGUUUGUACUAUUUGUAAUAUUUUUUUUCUUGUUGGAGGACAACUGGAGCUCUGUUCUCUACCUGAGGCAACUUUGCAGAUAAAAGCAUAUUUUAAUUCCAGGAUGAUGGAUGUACGUGUCUUUAAGCUCUGGACUAGUUUGUGUUCCUUUUGCACAAUUAUCUACACAGUCUGCUUGGAAGAUAAGAGAGGGGCUUCACAACCCUUUAAAGGUACUGGCAGCAUUCAUGAAAAAACAUGGAAGUGGUGGUAGGUUGAAGGAGAAGAGAAGGCCUUAUGACUCCUCAGUCCUUGGCUGAUGCCUUUUAUACUCAGCUCACUUCUGCACUUGAGGUCAACGUCUAGCAUAAUUGAUUCCUGAAGCGCUAAUAUUUUCGUAGAUUAUUUUGUGUUGAACGCCAGGGGUCUUUGUAAGUUCACUAUCUCACUCACUGAUUGGUUACCAAAGUACUACUCUAUUGAAACUUAUGGACCAUCCUUUUGAGUGUCUUUACGUAACGUGGCACGGCAUGUUAGACUUUGGAGCAGCUUUUUUGCAUUGAUCAAUGUGGUUCAAUGCUUGGGCACCUUAAUUUUCUUCUGCAGGCCUAUCAUUUUUCUUAAUAUUGAGCUUGAUAGCAGUUGAACUCUCUCUUUGACUAAUUUUUAGAGUAUUCUGAUAGAAGAUAGACAACUUAAUAAUUAGCGUUGUCCUAAAGUGAUACUUAAUAAGAGGUUUAAUGUAGAAUAAUCUCUUGAUAGAGAAAAUCCAUUUUACUUUGCAUACUUUCAGAUUCUUUGCCUGUCAUAUGAGAUAGUCCCUUCAUCUUAUCUUUUACUGUUCACUGGGGUACAGUGAAGUCUAAAGACAUUUGUGUACAGAAGCGAUCUAAACAGGUCAUCUUCUGUAUCUGAAGCUUUGUGGAAAUGUAAGCUGUGGGAGGGAGGAAGUGUUUAAGUUUGUGAGUCCCAAACCAAGUGAUUGUUUUAGGCGUUCUAGUCUGUCCUUGAUUGUAGUGAGCUGCUUUAUUCAUAGGCAGUAAUCUUUCCAUUGAAACCCUGUGCAUCAUUAGAGAAGGAGCAUUUUAUAAAUCUAUUAACUUUUAUUGAACGAAUAGAUAAGUAUAUGCCUUUAAGGUGGAAGUGGCUAGAAAAGAAAACUGUAAAAAUUCUACGCUGCAGUGAGAAUGUAUUGGAUAUUAACUUACUGUUCCGAGUGUUGACCAAUUUUUAUUCCAAAGCACGCUAGCUCCAUAAAACUAAGGGCUCUGCUUGAUGGUAACUUUCCUGUAGGCUGAGAAAGACAUAGAAGGACAGAUUCUUCUCUGCCCCUUUUUUAUCCUUCCUUUUUCAGGAAUUCAUAGGCUCACAUUUUAAUCCUUCCAAAGUGUGUACUCCAGGAGUUUUUAAUUUUGGUUUCCCUCCUUCUGCAAGUCUGUCUGACUUGGAACAAUAAGCUUUUCCUAUGUGGUUUUUUCUUUCUUGCAACUUUUAUAUACGCUGUUUUUGAAGGUUAGGCUUUUGUACUAAUUUUCAAGACAUUAAUGUCAGUUUAGAUCCCAAGGCACAUCUGUUAGCAAUACUGUUAGAAUCCUCAGCUAGCUCUAAGCUUCAGUUGCAGAAUAAUUGAUAGAUGGCUUUGAUUUCAUGUUGCAACGCGAGGAACCCUUUGGACAUUUCUGUUGAAAGGACUGGAGAAGCCCGAAUCACCUUGGGAAUAGUCCUUGGGAAUAGCACUUCAGUUCAGAAGUGACGCUUCAGGAAAAUAUAUUGUGUCAGAACCUUUUAUCUGUAAGGCUAUAGUAAUGUUGAAAUGCCUGGAGUUCUGUAGAAGGAAAAUGCAUGUCCAGCACUCAUUGCGGGAUGCAGGGAACACGUUUGAAUGUAGUGAUGAUAAUCGUGCUGCUCAGAGGUGUGGGUGGAUUACUUGCUUGUUUAUUUGAACUUAAUGGAAGCUCAAAACUGGCACAUGGUGUGGUCCCUCUGUAGUGAAUGUGUUAAUUUUUUGGUAGAAUUAUUAUCUUUUGAGAUGAAACAGAUCUGCGUGUCACUCACCAAGUCUUAAAACUAGUCAGUCAUAACUUAAUUUCCAGAUUUAAUUGAUCAAAACAAUGGCAAUUACUGAUGUAAUUAUGUUCUUUCUGUUACAAAUGCUGUGAGGUUUCUUCACUGUAUAGAUGUAAUUACGAUCUUAGUGUUUCAGUUCACUUGUUGCCCAAAGUUAGUGCAAGUUUGUUAGUGGAAAAAAAAAACUUCUUGCCUAUUUAGAAAGUGGAACUGUUGCUGAUGCUGUUUUCUAUUGGUGCAGCUGCAGGGAUUUUUAACAAAAUAUAUUCUGUAAUUAAUAGUUACCCUAGAGAAAGAAAUUUGUCUAUUAAAUACAGCUAGCUACUGUGUGAAUUGCAUGGAUAAGUGAAUGUUUGACUCUGUCCAAGGCCAGCGUGAGCUGAAACUUAAUAUGAGGGCUGCUCCAAAAGUAAUGCCUCCUAUUUUAUCGCAUUGGUCCAUGAUGUCAGGGGUGGAUGUUGGUGGUAUGGCAGUAGAUGUUGAGCCUGCUCACCAGUAUUCAUGGAGGAAGAAAAACUUCAGGGACCUUGUUCUCCAAGAACCAAAGAGUAAGAUUGCUAUCAUCAGGGAACUGUGCUUGACUGUAAAUGUUGGUGGACCUGACUGUUCAGAAAAAGUGCUCACUGCCUGCUGCUUUGAAUUCUGGCUGAAAAUUGUCAGGUAAAUCAUUGGUCCUUGGUAUUCUGUCCUGUUUACUAUCUCCUUUUUUUUUUUCCUAACAAAUAAAAUGCAAAGAACGAUGUCCGACAUCCUGACAAUAUAUAUUCCUUUGAGGAUGCUGCCUCUGUGCUGAGUUUGGAACAUUUAUAUUUUUAUUUAUUAUUUAUAUUUCUAAUAACAAAGAGGUUUAGACAGUUAAUAAAUGAAAUACAGAAGGGCUCUCUGGAUGAUAUACUGUGUGUCCCAGCUACUGAGUCACAGGGUAAUGCUUGCUAUUGUGAAUCUUGAAUUGUUUUGUGGGUAGUAGAAUAACUGUAAAGGGAAGGUGAAUAGCAUUCUGAUUUGUUUGCUUGUAGCAUCUUUAAAAUCUAGUCUCCCUGCUGGAGGUAGGAGGUACGAUGCUGGGCUCCCAGGAAACCAAGGAAGAAAUGUGAGCUUUGAAGGAGGCAGAUCAAAUACCAAAGGUGGGCAACCCUAUCUCCUGGUCAUAUUUUAUAAUGAAAAAUAAGGACAUAUGAUUCGUUUUUUUUUUAAAUGAGUGUAAACAGUUGUGUUCAUCUUUAGUGGAUAAACAAGCCUGCUUGUAGUUUGAAUCCAACAGAUGAAAUCUAGAAAAGGUUUGAAUGUAAGAACUACCUCUCUUCAUUUUCAUCUGUAGAUUUCUAGGUUACACUGUCUCUGUAUUACAGCAUGUAGGGAGUCUGGAAGGCUAAGCAUAAGAUGGGGCUGAGGCUACUGAGUGUGGCUUAUUUCCUGCUGUCUGCAUACAUAUAACCCUGUUUUUUUAAUUAGAUCUAUGGUUUAAAUGAGAUCUAACUUUAAUGCAGAGUUGCUUGAUUUUGUGUGUGUGUGUGAAUGUGUGUGAGAGUAAAGCUGUGUAUGCAGUACUGAAGAAUAUCUGCUAAAGGAAGGAUAACACAGUUAUAUCUGUGUAAAUGGAGCAAUAGCGUUUCUUAGUGCAUUUCCUGGCAAAGCAAGGUAUUUUUGCUACCUGAAGAUAGACACCAUUAUUUUUUCCUUUUCACAGCAUUUCAGUGUUGAGCGAAGCAAAGUCUUAACUGCAUUUUGGGUAAUUAAAGUUUGUUUUAUUAAUACUGAAUUUAUAUAGUAUUUAUAUAGUAUUAAUAAUCUUGAAUGCUGUUUGGGGACAGACAAUAAAAAUAGAGCUAAGCAGUAACUGCAGUAUCAUAGUUCUGCAGGGAAAUCAGAGCUGUAAGAAUGCAGAAUUGUAUUUGACAGGUGAUUACAGAUAUAUCUUUUCUCACCCAAAAUCAGAAAGAUGAUGUUCUUUCCUGGGUAUAUGAAGCUUCAAGUUGCACCUUCCAAUCCUUCCAGUUGCAGCGGAGGAUGAAUUUAUGAAAGCGAUCUGUUUCUGUAGCAAUAGAAAAGCUCUGAGCAGAGAAUUCAACACUUAUUAGUGCUGUUCCAUCUUUUCCAGUGCCUGCUACCUGUAAUCUUUUCUCCCUCAGUCUUGUGUUGUGCUGUAAAGCUUCACUGCUGUAAGGCAGCUGCUAAGAACAUAAAGUGAACCUCUUCAUAAGCAGUGGUUUUCAGUCCCUUUUCCUUAGAGCUCCUGAGCACUCAGUGUACUGCAGUUGGAGUAGCACCGACUUGGUUUGUGCAGCCCUGCUCUGCUGUACCUCUGUGCUCACCUGCAGGGCACAGGUGAGGAUAAGCAACGCAGGGAAGCACUGGACUCACAGUCUGCCUGUGCUGAGAAGGAAAAGGACCUGAAGUUGUAGCUUUUCUGAAGGGCAGUGACACUCUUCCCCUGGAGGAUGUCACCCAAUGCUUUCCUUCUCACCUUUGCUAUCUGCUGGCCCAGGGUGGCCCCAAGCACUAUUUUGUGAAGAGGGCCUUAUCUGCAAGGGAUCACCCCAAUAACAUCAGUCUGGCAUUAAAGGCCCUUCAGAUUGAUGGCUACUCCUUGAGAGAUCUCUGCAGAUGUUGCGUGACUGCUGCAUUUUUAAGAGUAGGAAAACCUGCAGUUGCUUUAAUGUUCUGUUGUGACACGUAUAUAAUGGAUAUUCUGUAGAAUUCAUACGUCUCUCUGUGUCAGAACAUUUUGAACUUCAGGUACAACAGACUAAUUGGAGCGAACGUUUCAGUCCAUCCUCUGCCGACCUCUGCAAUACACAUUACAGCUUGGGAUGGGAGUUGCAUUCAUUUGCUGGUUAAACAACUUCUAAAGCUGGGUUCUGAUCUCAGGAGUGCUGUUUUCUUAAUGGGAUUUUUUGAAGAUGGCCAUAAAAGACAAUAGCUACCGCUGGAGGUAAUAAGAAAUAGUGUGCCAUGUGAACAGGCUGCUUUAACUCACUCCUGAAUGCAAUUUUUCUUGAUUCUUCUAAAAAUAACUCUCCUUCCAACGUGAAAAUUGACAAAACUUUACAGCAUGUGUUAGCAGAGUGAUGAAAUGUUGAUUUCUGCUUUUCUGAGUGAGCAGUUAGAUUAAAAAAUAAAACAGAGAGAGGUAAGCAACGCAGUAAUACAAAUUCUUAGGAGUUGUUGCUGCUAUCUUCGAUUGUCCUUAUUUUGUCUUUUGAUUAUUUUUUUUCCUCAUUUCACCUUUCUCCUCUUCAUUUUUUUCUGCUGAAUUGCUGUAUUUUUAUUUAUUUUUAUUUAUUUAUUGCUGAGAAAGUAUGUGGUUUGAGCAAGGCACAGUAGCCCAAGUUGGAAAGUAAGUUGCUGUUGACAGUUCUUGCCAUUUCCCCGCUUACUACGUGAACUUGUACAUAAAAUGCUUUGGUCUCUUCUUGUGGUAGAGCUAAGCAUUUUGUGUGCUGUGAAGCAGAGUUUCAGUGUGCUGAUACCAUGCAUGUGCCAGUGUAUUCCAAUUAGAGACUCCUGAAGCAGGUGGCAAGCUCUACUUCUUUACACUGCAGGGCAUUUUGGUGUAAGUAUGUGCAGAACGACUGAAUCAUUGUAACAGACCAUAAUGCAAGCUGUAAAUUAAAGAUUUUUGCUUGGAUGUUUUUUUUUUUCCUAAUUGCUAGAAACUAUAGUAUGUAACUUUAUUUCUGUUAUUAUUUUAGCUCACAAUAUUAAACAUGAGGCUUUUCACUUUUUCAAAUAGUUUAAAGGUAGGAAUGCUGAUAAAUAUGUUGUCCUUUGCUUAUUUUUACAAAGCAUCAGUUCAUCCUAAUGUAAGUAAGCAGAAAACUGCAUUUAAUAGCAGCAGAAUUUUACACAGAAAGCUAAAAUUUGUAGCAAGAUCAAGAGGAUGGCAAAGGAAUCAUGUUUUGACUGCUACAUUCCAGAACGUGCAGAUGAUAAAUGUUUAAGUUUGAAAUAAUGAUUAUAAUUCCGAGAUCGAUGGAUGUGAAGGGAAGGUAACAUUUGUGUAUGUGUAGGACUUGAGGAAAUCCCUUUCUAAACAAAAAUACAGUCAGUUUUAAAAUUUGCUUGUGCUUUCACUGUAAGUCUAUGUGGAAUUACCACUGCAUGUAGUGGGAACAUCAUAAAGCUGUAAUCCAGGGCAUGGAGUGUGGACUUUUUUUUUUUACCAGCCUAUUAAAACCAGACUUGUGUGCAAAUUUAGAGAAUCUUGUUAAUUUAGAAAGGGAUGGAUUAUAUUUGGAUGCAACUUGAAAUCUUGUAGCUUUAAAAAACAAAAGAAAAGCCACAGUUUUCUCUUAAAUUAUCCUUUUUAGUCCCUCACCCUGUUGAUUUUGGUAGUAAUAUUCUCAAGGUUUUUCUGUAAUUAUGUGUGUUCAUACAGUGCUUUUAUUGUAUAGAGUGUUACAUACUGGGAAGAGAUUAUGUUAAUAGGACAGCGGAAAGGGAUUAAAGGCCAGAAGGUGUAUUAGGAGGGGCGAACUGAAUUGGGGAACUAGAAAAUGGAGAAAAGAUCAUUCUGAUGUGUGUAGAAAAGGCAAGGGAGUUUUAGAUGAAAACUCUUACGUUGUGCAGUAUACAUUUGAGAAUAAACAGAGAGAAACAGUAAGGGAAAGGGAAAGGAAAAUGCCUUAUGGGAAACAAUAUCCUAUAUACAAAUAAAAUUGGUUAGGAGGAAAAAGUAACUGAAAACAGAAAAUUGGAGGAGUAUGUAAGCAGAGAAAGAAGGGGGAAAAAAAUACAAUGCAUGCAGAGGAUCAAAGUGCGUACCCUUCCUAAGCCACAGGGCCACUUAAGAAAGGAAAAACACAUGAAUGUAAUUAGUCAUAAAAAUAUGAGAGGAGGGAUAUGGGAUACAGAAUUAGGUUAAACUUCAACUUGAGUUUAGCAAUCCUAUGUAGAUCUGAGUGACGUAUAGAUGUCACUCAGAGCUUCUUAUGGUCUGUAUUUGUUUUAUUCACAGAAGCAUCUAGACAGACCAAUAUCUUGUUAGCCUUUUUUAAUUCAUCCUGUGAUUUGGAAUACCAGUCAGGCUUUCAUCUUUCAUUCUUGGAGACGUUCUUUUUCUUAAAGAUAGCAACAGAAGAUUCUGUGGAGCCAGUUAUUUAAGUGUGGGUACGAAGCUUCAGUAGCUUUCGCUUUGCUUGGCUAAACAAGCUAACAAUCUACACAAGGCCUCGGCAGCAUCUGGUUUUGAGAACAAAAUCUGAAACUUCCCAGCUAGGCUAAUGCCAUGUUAUAUGAAGUUCUUAACUCAUUGAUAUUCCGAAAUUGAGGAAGGAACCUCAUCUCUGUGUCUUUUUAAUGUCCGUAUUUUAAGAAGGAAUGGUUUUGAUACGGAUUUUUUUUUAUCCUGUAGGCUCAGUGAGUUUCAGAAAUACUCUUGUAGGAGUAUAAGUUGUCAAGAAAGUCUUGCGGUAUCAAUUUCAUUGGGCAGCACCUGCACAUCACAUCAACCUGCAGAUCUGUGGUCUUAGGAUAAACUGGAUUAGGUACUUAUCCAAGGUUUUUAUAUUUUUUCGUUCUGAUAGUUUACUUCUAUCUUGGAUUAAUUUUCAUCUCUUGUUAGUUCUUAGACAACCUUUAUGGCAGGGGUGGAAAGCUAGGGGAGAAAACUGCAGGAAUGCUGUCUGUGCUGCUUAGAAAAGAGAAGUGACCAUCAAGUUACUGCCUAAGUAUUCAUUGUAGAUGUAAGCAAAACUUUGCUGACAAUUCUCUUAAAAUGUAUUUCUGCACUUAGGAAAUUAUGGGAGCUUUGCAAUUUCAAUAGAAUCAGGCUUCCUAUAAAAAUGAGUGGGUGACAGUGGUCAGAAGACCACUGAGGUUUCUCUUUCAGGAUGCAGCCUUUUCUCCUGUCAGUUUUCAGUCACAUCUUGCUUAGUUUUACACCAGCAGAGUAAGAAAAUAAGGCAUCCCUGUAGGUUUAGAAAUUGAUGACGUUGAAUAUUAAUUGGUCUUUUGCUAGAAAUAAGUCUAGUGAGUAUUCUAUGCAGUUGUAAUAUUGUUCCUCAAAUUACAGAAAUAAACAAUUCUUAUUAUUCUUAAAUUCAGAUUGCUCCACAGUAAAGUAAUUCUGGCAAAUACGCUUUUUCCAAGGUAGGGAUGUCCAAAUCUGAGAGUCCCUUAAAUUAAUUUAAUUGUAAGUGCAGCAUUGUGGAUGGGGAAGCUUUGUUGAUGAGCUGUGGGCGUGAGGGAGUUUGGAAUAAAAUAGACAUUAAGGGUGGCAGUUAAAAUGCAAUAAGACUUUAUGCUGUCAGUUCUGUAACUGUAGGAGGAGACUGUUCUAAAUCAAAUAAGCAGUUUGUGUGCGUAAUUAUCAGUAAUCUAAUGCCAUUUCAGACAGACUUCUUUAAUUGUUUAUUUUUCAAGGAGAACAAAAUACGAAGUUUAUAUUAAAAAGUUAAUGGGCAGAGGAGGUUUCUUUGUGUGACACUGUUCUCACAAAACAAUCCCUUAGUUUAGCAUCAGGAGUGGUUUAGUUAUCUGCUUUAAAUGAAAGGAUUCAUUUUGUUUUAGUGGUAAUGCCAAGCUUCCUUUCCAUUUCAUUUUGUAUUAAGUACCACUGUUUAAGGGCAGAUAGUCCAGGAAUUCUUAGAAAAUUGGGUUCAUUUUUCUGUAUCUGUCUCCAUCCAUUCUUCUUCUUAACCUCAUAGCGGUAUUAAUUACUUUCAUAAAACAAAAUCAUGGAUGUUAUGAUUAGGGAGUGUGGUUUAUCAAGCCCAGCUUCCUGCUUCACACAGGUGUAAGAAAUCUGGCCAACAUGAGGCCUGCCCACCAUCUUUGUGGGGAUGAGUCUUGAACGCUUACAAGAAUGGACCCCAAAGGUGGGGCUUUUUAAUAUUUGUCUUUGGAUCUAAAAAAAAAAAAAUGGCCUAUUUUUCUGAGGAAAAAGAAGUAUUUGUAUUUUAAUUUUGAUCGUUAUAGUGAUGAGAAGUUAUUGAUACUGAGGAGCUGUGUAGCGGUAAGCCUGGUAUCUCUUAGUAGCAGCGCUAGCAGUAGGCAGGCAGUUGCUUUGCAGGGUAUUAGCCUGUGUUGGUCUUCAAGGAUGUCCUCCCGGUAGACUGUCAGUCUAUACUACGUGUGCUGAAUCUGUUUUAUAAAGGAAUUAAUCCCUCUGUUUCAGGGAUGCAAAUACUAGCAGCUUUCAAAGGCAUUCCUUGUACUGAAAGGAUGGCAAAAAAGGGCAGGUAUUUCAAAAAUAAUGGUACAGCCAGCUUAUAUCUGCAGUGAAACCUGCUUUAUAGCUACAUAUUUCAAAUGCAACUAUUGACAUAUUCUGAUCGGUACAGUUAAUAGUGGGAUUUUUCAGCAUAAAUAAUGAGAUCAAACUAAGCUUCUUUCUUACCACUUUUAUAUUUAAGUCUUUCCUUUGAAGAUAUAGUUUGAACAGGAGGUGAAGGAAUGAGGUUUGGUGUAUUUGUGUUUGAAGAAAUGCAAUUUUGUUAAUCUGUUGUUUGUUAGGAUUGUAAAGGGGGGAAAAAAAUUGAAAGCUUGCCUGGCAACCUGAUCUAGUAGGUUGUUUUUUGAUACUACAGAUGAAAUUAAAAGCAUCCAUCAUAGUGUUGUGGACAAGAAAAAUAAAAUAUUCCUUGGAGUUGUCAUUGCAGUCUGAUGUUCAUCUAUUAAUAACGGAGUGAACAGCAAAUAAUCUGAAAUAGUUGAUAUUAAUGAAACUGAGAUGAAGAAUGCAGCUGUACUUCUGUGUAAAAAAUAAAUAAAUUGAUAUUAAGAUGUACACAAAUAUAUUUUUCCUGUGUUACUCAACUCUGAUUUUGUUACCGUUUGCCAGCUAGGACUGCAAGAUAAGUCCUAAAAGGCUUGUAUCCAGUAGCUACACAACAAACACUGGUAGUAACAAUGCAAGCCUCCUGUGCACACACCAGAUGUUCUUUCUUUCUUUAAAUUCAUAUCCAGGAUAGUUACUCUAAGGGUGUAAAAAGAAGCUGGGUGUUCCUUCUCUGAAAUUGGUUAUCUCCUGCCUUUGACAGCACUUAAUUCUGUGUUUUAAAACGGAGGUGAUCAAAUAUGGGUGAUCUCUAUUGCAUUCCAGAAAACUGUCUUUCUGAAUCUGUAGUGAAUGCAAGCUGGAUGACAGAGGCCUACUGUGAUUUUUCUGCACUACUGCUUGAAAUCUGUAGCGAAUUUUUAAGUCUGUUUGCUUUGGUACAGUGGUAGUAUAUUGAAGCUGAAAGGUAGGAAGUGUGGUGCUUCUGAUCCCAGGCAGGGAAGACUCUUGAUCCAUAGUGAAGGCUGGUUUUGCUUGGCUGGAAACAGCGUCCAGUUGUGUGAAGCCUUGGAAAGAAGGGAUGGAUUCCCAAUGUGCUGCUAGAUUUCAAACAGAAAAACCCAAGCAGAGUUGCUUAUCCAUCUUAUAUUUGCCUUGUGUGUUUUUUUUUUUCCAUGACCUGGCCAGGUUAAACAAAACUGUAAUCCCCUUAGGUAUCGUGUCAGUAUUGACUAUGGGAAUGGAUGGUAGGACACUCGGAUGUCUGUACUUCCUCCUUUUGACUGCAGGAUAAACAAAGGUGUUUUUUUUAACUUACAGUGAGUACACCUGCUGAAAUGCAGGGUUUUUCCUCCACACUACUGCUCUGUGACAAGAGCGUUUUUAUAAUUGUAUUUUCUCAGUCAGAAGAGCAGUAGGAGGAAUAAUUCAUUUAAAUAUACCAAAUCAUAUUUAAUUUGUUGCUUAGCAGCUGAAGCAAAUUAUGGAAAUCUCAGAGAUGGAUCAAAUACUGCUGUGGUAAAGGGAUUUCGGAUCAGUUAGCAUACUAACUGCUGUUGCUCUUGAAACUGUUGUUGCUUAAUAUUACGCUAAAGUUUGCACUGAGGGGUGUCUUCUCCCAGCGACUCGUGGUCUCAUUAGCCAAAAUCUUUUUAAUGAAACCUGGAAUGGCAGCAGGAGAGAAAUAAGAGUUAAAAUAAGCAACAACAACUAAAGGGAACAAGGAAAGAAAAGAUGGGGGAAAUAAAAAAUAACAAGUGUGCCUUCUGUAGUCUCUUCAGAUGAGCGCUUGAUUGGGUACAUGGAUGAGAAAACGUAACAUAUAUCCCUAGCCUGGAUGUUUAGGAAUUCUCUUGAAGCCAAUUGAAUUUACAGGUUAUUUCACUGUGGAAGUUCCAGUGUAUGGAAAAUCCACUAACUAGUCUUUGUUAUUUUGAAGGUAUGGCUGAUUCAAUUUCAUGCUGUGCAUAGGGGAAGCUAUGUUACAGCUGAAGUUUUUAUCAUUUGGCCUUAAUUUCACCAUAUGUAGUUGGAUACAAAAGGUAGUAAUAACCAUAACAAAGACAAACCGACUUUUAGCACAGGCAGUUCUUUCAGUGUUUUUGUCUCCAAUAUUUUGUGCAGGAAAGAAAUACUAAUGAGUGUUUACCGCUACGGGCAGUGGAAAAUAGUCUAUUUAAAUGUACCUCCAGAUCGAUUCAGCAGUAAGAUAUGUGCAGAACUACAGAAUAAAAAAGUAUGUGAAGACUUUAGCCUACAGCUAAGCAUUAGGGUGUUUGCAAAUACAACCCAACUGCUCAGGGUUUACUGAGGAGCAGACUGAGCUGUGCAGAGGAUGUUCAUACGUGACGUUAAUGCGAGACCAUCUGAGGGACUGCUAUAUCUGUAAACAAAUUCCAAAGCUUACGCAGUGAGCACGGUGUAGGCUGCAGAAUGUUUUUACAUUUUAUGGUCUCAAGCACGCUGCUGUCAUGAAUGAUUCUUCAUAAAAACUUAGAACCAUUUGGAAAGAACAGUGUUCUUGGUUGGGCAGUUGGUGUACACUGAUCUCUUUCCCUUUGUUACCCAGCUUGCAGCCCACAGUCAGUUUUCUUUCCUCGUCAGUAAGGAGAUAGGAGUUGAAGCUCUCACGUGAUGACUGCAAGGGUGAUUUUUGACUUUGGCUGCCUCCAACUCCUCAGGAUUUGUUUCUUUUUUUUUUUUUUUUCUUCUUUUAAUUUGUUUUGGUACAAGGAUAGCGCUCACUGCUUUUUUACUGUUUCUCUUUCCGCUUUAAAUGAGUAAUCAUUUCGUGUGGGCAGCAUCACUUUGGAGGGGGCUUUUGUACAUAGGUAACUGCUGCAGGGGGAUGCUGAAUAUUUAUGGAAGUUUUUUAAAUGAGCAGAAUAUUUCUUACCCUAAUAUAGAGAAGGAAAUAUAUACUUUCCAAAACAGGAUAUAGGAACUGUUAACGGUUUUUUAUCUCAGAUUCUAAUUUUAUAAAGAAAAAUGCAAACACAGUACAACCUGAUUGCUUCUUUUCUCUUUUAGCAUGAAACAUAUCUGCAGUUCAUUUGUCUUCCAAGAAUUCUGUUUAUGCAGCAUCUUUUUGUUUAAAGGUAUUUAUAUACUUCAAACCUUAAUUGGAUUUAGUAGCACAUGUGAGAAGCAUGGGAACUGUCUGUUUUCUUUCAUAUUAGAAAGCUUAAAGGGAUAGAGAAUCUUUGUGGAGUACUUAAAACUAACACUGUAAGACUCUUGGCAGAGGAGCCAAGUCCCCAGAUUCCUUAUACCCUAAUCUCAAAAUUAUUCCUUCUCAUUUUUUGGCAUCCAGAAUGGAAUUUCAAACUCUUAUUUUAGACAGUUGCAAAAAUGCAGGUUACAGAACAGCGCAGACUUAAACACCGUACUCGUCAGUGUGUUUUGACAGACUGAGGUUCUGUUGUUAUAGUCAACAUUUUCAAUGGCAAAACAAAGAGAAGAUUGAAAAAGAUGCUGGGAGCAUCACUGUAUUUCACUGAAGUUCUAAGGUAAUGUUACCAGUCAACAGUGGACAUCUAAUGGACAGUUUGUUUACUGAGUGAGGCCUCAAGGGAGGUAGUGUCCAACUAAGCAGUGAAAUCAUCCGAAACAAUCUCUUAGGUGAUAGUUUCUGGCUUGAAGUAUAAUAUAAGACAAACACCUGCAGAGGACAUCUGUCCUUCUCUAAACUUAUAAUCAGAUAGAAUUUUCUGCAUGCUGUCUGUCAUAUGAGCCAUAGGCUUAUAGGCUAGAGGCAUUUAGUUUACAGACACUUUCUUGUCAUGCGCUCACUUCCAGGAGGUGGUCUGUGUAUUUCUGACACGAUCAAUACUUGCUGCACAUGCACAGUACGGCAAAGUGCCAGUAUCAGAGUGUGUUGAUGCUGAGUGAGACGGGUGAGGUCUGCUUCCAUCUUCUUUCUCCCCUGCAGCUGUGUGGUCUCUGCUGUGGGAGUGGCUGUGUGUCUCACAGGGAGGGAACGACUGACAGGUGUCAGUGAGGAGCGGGCUGCAUUCACAAUGCACUAGGGUUCUUUGGCAGCCCCUUUCCCCCAGUGUGUUUGAAAGCUCCUAAAUAAAGUGUCGACUUCAUGCCAAACCAAUUGGGAUGAUUAGCUACAAGUGUAUCGUGAAGUAGUUUUAUUUUAUUUUAUUUUAUUUGCAUUUUUUUUUCCUGGUCAGUGUAGAGAAUGGAGAGGGGACAUUGAGCACCUGCAGAGAGAGAUGAACUGUACUCCCAAACCAAGGAACUUCCCAGAAGUCUCCCUACUCUGUCAGCUGCCUCCACCUGAGGAAAUGUUAAUUUAAGAGCCUUACCUUUACAUAUCUAACAAUGCCAUUGAGGUGUUUGGAGACCAUAGUGCUAGAGACUUUAAAGUCAGAACGUUUAAGUGGGUCUGGGGCCGACUGUGUGGGUUUCUAGGAAGAAGAAAAACUCUAUUAUGAUCGUCUCAAUGAAAUUUAUUGAAGUAGAGACAGCCCCAUUUUUUGCUGUGUUUUGGCCUAGUGCUGACUCUACACAUAAGCAGAGAAACUACUGAAGUGUUUUUACACAUCUGUCCCAAUCUCUGUAACAAUUUAUUGAAUGGUAAAUACCAGGGGAGGAAAAAUCUUGUGAUUCAUUGAAACAGUGUAUAAAACUGUCCCUAUGCUGCACUCAAGCAUGUGAUAAAUUACCUAUAAUGUCUAAUGAUGGUUAUAAUUUGUUUUAUUUAAUGGAAAUUAUAGAAAAUGUAGCAAAUGCUGCUCCAAAUGCCUCAGUGUUGGUUUGUAAUGUUUGUUUUCACUGUGAUUAAUACAGAGUUGGGUAUGUGUGCUCUAAACAUUCAUGACAAAGUAUUUGAUGAUAUGAACAAAAACCAGUUGGCAGAUAGAUGAGGUGGUGGUGCUGUUGUUGGGCUGUUGGGCAGGCUGGAGAAACAGGUUGACAGGAACCUCAUAAAUUUCCACAGAGGAAAAUUCAAAGUCCUGUACCUGGUGGGAAGAAUAACCCCAGGAACCAGCAUGUGCAGAGUCUUUACUGGCUGGAAAGCAGCUUGGUAGAAAAGGAACUGGGGUCCUGUCUGCGCAUGAGCGAGCAAUUCAUCUUUGCGGUAAAGAAAGCCAGAUUGGCAGAGAAUCUCCAGUAAGUCAAGGAAGUUAAUCCCCCCUCAAGCACUACAGCUGGAUCCACUUGUGGGCUCCGCACUGCAGAAGAGAAACAGGCAUCUUGGGGUAAGUCUAGUGAAAGGCCACAAAAACACUGAAGGCAUUGGCAUACCUGUAGUACAAGAAGAGUGUGAAAGAGCUGUGAUUGUCUAGUCUGGAAAAGAGAAGGCUAGGGCUAUCUUACCAAUGUGUGUAGAGGGGAGGAAAGAAGAUGGAGCCAGACUUCUCAAACAAUACUGCAUAAUCAAAUCUUUUCAUGCUAGCUGCUAACCAGCUUUCGUUUUAACUACUGUCACAUUAACUGUUAGAUAAUGGUAUGUUUUCUUGGCUUUUCAUGCCUAGACUAGGAACAGGGCUUGUUUGUUUAGCUUUAAUGUUGAUUAUCAAAUGGAAGACUGUCCUCAUUCUUCUCUCUCUGUUUUCCUUGAAACGAAUGGGAGGUGGGGAAGGAAGGAGGAAUGAGGCUGUACUGAAAACUGUGUUGUUGUAUGUCAUCUUGUGAGUGCUUUUGGGUUUUGUGCAUCUCAGGAGAGAUGUUUUCUGAAGUUGACGUUACUCCAUGCAGCCAAUGAAAUUAGGAUCACUUUGAGUGAUCUAGUUGCCUAGCUGUGCACAUACUUGCAUGUAAGUCUACGUUUACUUGUUCUUCUGUAAUAAAUAUAUUGCAUGAGUAUACAUUCUGAGGUAAAAGACUUAAAAAUGUGUUUUUCCUGUAUACAGCUAAUUAUAGCUAGCUGCCUAGUUUCAGACAAUAGUUUGCUCUCAGUGGCUUGACUGGGAACUUGAAAAGCAGGAUUUCUAUGUGUUAGCAGCUGUUACUCUGAAAAUAGUAAAUAGUUCUAUCUGUCCAUUUCUUGGCAGUAGUUGUUGAAAUCUAUGUGAAAUACUAGAAAUUUUUUAGAAUUUCUGUCAGGUUGUAUAAGUCUUAUUUUUUUAUUAUAAUUAUUCACAAAGACUUUACUAGUUGCUUAUCUUUAUAAUAUCCUUUUUGUUUGUGGAAAGAAGGUGUCAUAAAUUAUGAUCAGUACAAUAAGAGAUGAACACUUAAAUAUGGAAAUGACUUCUUGUAAGUAGAACUUUAGACAGCUUACACUGUGCACGACCUUUCUUAAAGUUGUGAUUCUAGUUUAAACAGAUAUGGGCAUGGGAAUUUGAGUGGUUUAAAAGUUGAUAUCUAUGUAUUUAUAUACAGAUAAAGUGUUGCUAGUAGGAAAGCAACUGAUGCCUUUAAAUAAAUAAUCUCCCUUUCUUUUCCACGUUUUAAUGAGUCCUCAUUUUGGCUGCAGAAGCUCUGAGGUCACAGACCUAAGCUUCCUUUUUUAUUCCUCUGCCUCUCUCCAUGAGGUAAUGCAUUCUCUUCACUCAGCAACGUGAAGCUUUGUGGCAACUGGCAGAAGGGGCAGUCAGAGAUCCAAUGUGCCAAACUGAAUUGAAAUGCAAAGGAGAGACAGUUUAUUGAACUAAAUAAAUGAAAUGUAAAGGAGGGAAUGCAUGAGGAUAUAAGGUGAAGACAGAAAUUGGUGUAAGGAUAUGGACAAUGGAAAUCAAGAUAAUCUGAUCUCAAAGCAGAUUUGUCAUUUUCAGCUGGUGGAUAUAAAAAAAAGAAAACAUCAGGGGAAAGAAAUCCUCUUCCCUCCUCAUUGUUGCUACAAAAAAAUCACUGAUGCAUCUCAUUCUUCUUAUAGGUUAUGUAGUUCCUUAGAAAUGCAAAAAGUCUCCCCAGACCAGUUUUUAAAAACAAUUGUAAGUACAGUUUCUUCUUUUCAUCUCCUUUUGAUAAUAUCCAAUAAAAUACUUAAAUACGAGUUUAAUGGCUUUUAGGACAUAAAGUAAGAAAGCUUGUCAAUUGCAUGUUAAAGCAUACUUUAUGCUCUAGUAAAAAUUGUUUCAUUUUCAACUUCAUUGCAGUAACUGAAGAGUCAGGAAACUAAAUUAACUUUUUAAAGUCAAUAUUUCUUGAGUUAUUUUGAAAAUCAGCAAAUUAGUUGCAUAGCUGAAGAUCUAAAGUGGGCAAAAUUGCAUGCACAAGGAAACUGUUGUUUUGGAUUGCAUAAAGCACUUCAGUGGUAUUUACAUGCAGUAGUAGAACUGGGAGGAAAGAGUGUGAGUUAUGUGCUUGAGCACAACAAAAUGUGAAUAGUUGUUUGUAACUUAUAUGCAGGUAUGUUUUAGUUUAGGUUUUUUUUUUUUUUUAAGAGCAUGGAUAUGGAAGUUAUGAAUUUUAACUGUGCCUCUCUACUGGCAAGGCUUGCUGUUUUUAAGGGAGAAUAACCUGAUAUGAGAAAGCAUAGACCAAACACAAUAGUUCUGAUUCUGAUUUUUGUACUUGCAACUAGUGGAAACAACUCAUGAAAUACCAUGAUGUUCAGCAUCAUGUUUGUUAUUCAAUAUGUUUGUUACUCAAUUCUAGUUGAAUAGGUGGAUUCAUAGUUGCCUGAAAAUCUUUGGGGGGGAGACAAUGAUUGGAAAAACAAAGUUUUUGUCUUUAUUUACAGAAGGAUGGAUUUAGCGUGGUGAGCUUUUUUGUAUUUUUUUCUUAUUUUUCAAGUCUGAUCUUGAAGACUGUUAAAAUAAAACUGUGAGGGGGAGAUAAGCCAGGAACUUAUGUACAGGAGUAAGAAAAUAACCUCGUUCCCCAUAAGAGGUACCCAUAUUUCAGUUUUGACCACUUGUGGAAACCAUGACAUGCUUCCAUUUGAUCACUCUUCUGGUGCUUUAAUAAUCUUAUAUACGGAAAUGUUUAGACUUACUAAGCAGUAAUGGAGUAGAGAAGUGAGGAUAGUCCCGGAAGGGAAAUAAAGAAUAAUAAAAAGAUUUUUCUCCUGACCCCCUCAGGUGCAUAGCAUUUUAGUGAAAACAGUAGAUUUCAGACAUUUGGUAGAUGAAGAUGAAUGAGCAGUUGUUUAUGGUGUAGAUGAGGGUACAGUGUAACAAAGCUAUGACAAGGAGUUUUCAUGCAAUUUGUGACAUUUAGUACUGGAUGCGUACACUGGCAGAAUGAUUCAAUUAGGAAGAAGAUAGGUAUUCCCUAAAUCAGAAGUUAUACCACUUCUGCGUUUCCUGCUCUCUAUCUAAGUUGCUAAGUCAUACAAGGGAGAGUGUGGUUUUGCUUACAGUUUUCUUAGAAGCUGUCUUUAGAAAUCCGUAGGUAGCCACUCUGAAACUCAAUCCUGAGCUGGCUGUCGUGAGUUGGUCUGACAGCUCUUCUGGAAAAGGCUUAUAAAAAAAGAAAGGCUUUAAAUUAAUGGAAAGGGAGCUUCUGCAUGAUUAGUGCCUAUUAAAAUACAUAUGUAAGAGGAGUAAGAUAUUUAUCAGAAAAACCAACUUUGUCUGGAGGUGUGUCAUAGUUGUGAUUAAAGCGCAGUAAAAAUGCAACCUGCUUUGCCUGCAGAUAAAAAGUAAGAAAAGAGCUACCUACUACCUAAAUCUGUUGGAGGAAUUCUGGAUAACUGAAAAUAGUAUUUUUCCCCCCUUUCUAACCAAAACAAAAACCCAUUGUUGUCAAUACCUGGUAUGUACAAAAUAAAGAUUCUGCUCAUCUUGACCACAAUAUUAUUUUUUAAUUUCUUCUGUCUUGAAUAUAUUUAUCUGUUUUGCUUUUGGCCUCGUUCCUAGGAAUUAUUUUGACAGAGUGGAACUGCAAAAGCAUUCCUUUAAGUCUGUUUUUAGGAUUGAAACUUCCACAGCCUUUUGGGGUGGAGACUCUGUGAUCUGUUAUUUCUAAACUAGAGGCUUCCUUUCAGUCAUUGCAGUAGAGCAUGAGUUUCUGUUUUUUAAGAGGACAAUUGAGAUCUCGUGUGCUUCUUUUUUGCCCAAGGCGGUUGUGGAUGCCCCAUCCCUGGAGGCAUUCAAGGCCAGGCUGGAUGUGGCUCUGGGCAGCCUGGUCUGGUGGUUGGCGACCCUGCACAUAGCAGGGGGUUGAAACUCUAUGAUCAUUGUGGUCCUUUUUAACCCAGGCUAUUCUAUGAUUCUAUGAAUCUGCGUAUGCUAUAUGCAUUUUUUUCAUGCAGGAUGUAAAAUAAAGAAGGGAGAGCAAUGUUAUCACAAAAUACUGCUUUGCUUAAAUUAUGCAAGAAAAAGAACACUAGCCAUUAACUACUUUUAUUCUAUUUAGUGAUUAUUUUUUUUAACUCUUGUAAUUCAUAACUGUGUUAAUUAAAAAGAGAUAAGUAAAAAUAGACAUAUGAAAGAAACUGAAAUAGGGUUUUUUUUCUGUUCAUGUUUGGAUCUCUCUGUAAAGACUUACCUUCUUUGCUGUUUAUUCAGCAGCGUCAUUGAAGUAGUAAUCAAGAAAGGGCUUAACUUUGGCAUCAAUAUUUAAUUGCUUCUGUAGAACAUUGCUCACGUAUCACUUGCUGCAUUACUUUCACAGCAACAGAACUGUUCAUUUAUUUUCUCUUGGGGUGCUGUGAUGAUGAGCCUGCAGCUCAGGGUUCUUCGUGUGCUCGCUGCUCCUCAGGGCUGCACACUUCGAGGACUGCAGAGCUCAGCUGGUGGGGCCUGCUCAGUCUGCCGCGCCUCGUGCUGUUCCCACACAAUGCACCAGGCAUAUAAAGGCUCACUUCCACUGUCAGCACCUUCUCAAUGCCUCUGUCAGAGGCUGUAUUCAUAUUUGCACUUUUUAGCUUUUAUGUAGCAGCUAGCUUUUUAGUAUGUAGGUAUUUUUGUACAAGAAAGAUUUGGGAUAUUCCUGGAAACUAAAAAUAUGUUUGUUUAAAUUACCCUACCGUGUUCAUAUCUCCUUUUUUAGGUUUUAGAUAUAUAUUUUUAAAAUCCCUCAAAAGCAUGAAAUAUUUGUUAUCUUCUGAAGAAAAUUAAGGAAGUAGCACACUGUUGCAAUGUUGUGAAUUAUGUCUAAUCAGAUCAUGGAAGCAGAGGGGACUUUCUUAGGUGGGCUUUCGGUAUCCUUCCUAGGUCCCUCAGAUACAAGCUUGACCUUCAGUGAGAGAAUAGGCUCCUAGGAAAAAUGGCAGGGAGAAAUCUAAGUGGUGAGCAAGAGGAAAGAACUCCUAUUACAAUCUUCUCUGACUCUCAUAAUUCCCUAUUGCAUUCUACAUCAGCAAAAUUUCAACUUUAUCGCCACUAACCCUAACCUUAUUGAUUCAUAUCUCCAAAAUAUGACUUCAUUUCAACCAAGCAAAGAUUCUCAUGACUAAAUAUAUGUGGUAGGGAAGAUAUAUUUUGUGGUGCAACAUGAAGCGCUAGCUUCAGAGGUGGUGAAACCUCUAAGCAGAGUCAGAUGAUCCCAUUGAGGGCAUGAGGCCAUACAGCGCCUUGUGGGCGACUUGUCAUCAAAAAGAGCAGUCUCUUCUACAGUGGGAAAGGAGGCUGAGUGGCGCUGAUACUAAGUAUAUCUGAUUGGUGGAUGUCAUAGAAUCAUAGAAUGGCUUGGGUUGGAGGGGAUCUUAAAGAUCAUCUAGUUCCGGCCCCCUGUCGUUGGUCAUUCAGAGUUGUACACAUCAGAUCACUGAAAAAUUUCAAUUUUUAGUGAUCUGUUUUUCACAAAGAAAAGAUUUAGUGUACAAUCUUAAAUAUCAGCACUAAUAAGAUGAGAUGAUACGUAACUUGCCCACUGGGAAACCCCUUCCAGUCAGUGCUGUGGGUGCAGAAAAUUGCAAGUGAUUGCAGAUCUGGUGAAGGCUUUUGAUUAAUUAAACAUGUAGAUUUGAAGAGGUGUGCAGGGGUAGGGUUUCUCAAUCAUGGAUGGCUUUGCACUACUAAUUUACCGAGGAGACUUUUGUACUUGAAGAGGCAUCCUUAGCUCAUCUGAAUUUAUUGCCAGGAGCAGCACAGGUGGAAGGGAAAACUCCUCUUUUUCCUUACCUUGGUUAGGUAUGAUUGAUAAGUGGUGUAUAGACAAGGAGGGUGAUUCCUGCUAGUAAUACAACAUUGCAUAAUGAAUGGGUCAUAUCUGCCUUUCGGAUGGAAUAGGAAACUACUUUGACUUUGACUGCAUAAUAAACAGAAUGUGUUACUGGACUUUGCUUGGCCUGAAUAAGGAAGUAGUCUAUCAGUAAAUAUAUAUAUUUUUAACUGUGAUUUUUUUGUUUUAUUUUUCCCUGAGGGGAAAGAAAGAGUAGUUUUUUUAAAAAACCUGUCAUUUCCC
rnacentral:lncRNA from 1 species